GGCGCCCCGCCCCCUCCGCUGCUCCCUCCCCCACUGAGCGCUGCUGGUCGCUCGGCUCUCGGUUCCCGCGGGCUUUCCUGGCGACGGCCUCCCCCCCUUCUCGCCUAGGGUCUUGCUCCUCUCCCUCUUCUUUUCUCCACGUCUCUCCUCUCCCUCUUCGUUUCUUUACGCCUCUCCCCCUCCUGCUUUCCGCCUGUUCCGGGAGCCGAGCCCAGUCGCCUGGCUGCGCCGUGCAGCCGAGCGAGGCCCCCAGGUCCCUGUGGAACUGCGCUCCACCUGCCUCCAACUCCCUCCAUCAUCCGACCUGUUCUUUUCUUCACUGCUCAUUUCUUUCUUCCCUGAAAUAGGAGGCAGCUAGUCCCUUCUCCAUUCUCCUUGUUUUCAGUCUGUACUGUUUCUCCCUCUCGCCACCCCACCCCACUCCUUGGUUUCCCCCUUGUCCCCGCCCUCCCACCUUCUCCCUAAACUCAGCCCGAUGGAACAGUGAGAGGGCGAAGAUAAAAAUGGCAAAUGUCAGUAUCAACAUUGUUAUUGUUUUUGGUUGCUGAAACGGAAGAUGAACUGGAAUGCCCAAAUCAACUCAGAUCCAGGACCAAGAUUGAGUUCUUAAAAUUGCAAGUGAGACUGCAACGACAAAGUUAAUUAUGCCAACAAAAUUAUCAGCUUUUUCAGGCAGUGGGUGGGGGCGUUUAACUCUUAUUUUCAUUGUUUGCAAUAUUGAAAAUGAAGUCGACUCACAGAGCUGAGGUUCGGGGCCAAUCUGCGCACAAGUCAUUUGGAAUAAACAGUAGAAACCUUAAUUUAAAACGAGGCAAAUUGGAUGGGGGUAGAGCUCCGUGGUAGAGUGCUUGGCAAGAUCCCGAGAUCAAUUCCCAAUACUGGAAAAAAAAAUAUGUGUGUGUGUGUGAUACAAUGAAGAAACAAGUAACUUUCUCAAGAUUAUUAUAGUGGAAGAUCUUAAAUGUGAUCCCAGGUAAGACUCCAGAUGGCAGCUCAUUAAAACAUCCAGAAGGCGGAACAGGCAUGUAUACCUUCCCAUCUACCACAGGCGAUUUCACAAACCUCCCAGCUCUGACCUACAAGGCCCAGCCUUAUGGGACCCUUGUUGCCUUUCCAGUUUCACUCAUUACAUUCCAAGCACACUGAGGACCUUUCUGCCCAAACAUUUUUUGCCACAGGGCCUUUGUAUUUGUUAUUUCUUUGCCCUUCUGGAGCAGCAUUUAUUCAGACCACCCAUGUGACUCAGCUCAUGUGUCAACUCAGGGAGGCAUUUCUUUCUUUUGCUUCUGUACUGGGUAUUGAGCCCAGGGGUGCUCUACCACUGAAUUACAUCCCUGCCCCUUUUUAAACUUUUAGUUUGAGGCAGGGUCUCAUGUUGCUCAGGCUUGCUUCAGACUUGCCAUCCCCUACUUCAGCCUCCUGAGUCUCUAGGGUUAUAGGUUUGUACCACAGAGUCAGACUCAGGGAGGCAUUUCUGAUAACUGUGUCUAAAGUAAAUAUCCUCUCUGCCCCCAAACCAGGUACUUUCUGUUAUAUUACCCUGUUAUUUCCUUCAGAGCACUUAGCACAGUCUGAAAUCAUCUUGUUUAUUCACUGUGAUGGCCUGUUCCCAUUCUCCCUCCCACCAUUAAGAUGUGAACUCUUGGAGGCAGGGGCCUUCUCCCCCCGCCCCCCCUCAGAACUGUAUCUCCAGGACAAGGCAGGUGCUUAACAGUCCUUGAUGAAUAAUAGCCACAUUUCUAUAAUAUGAUGGACUACCAAAUUGUCCUUCCUCUCAGAUUCUGUCAAAAUUGUAUAGUCAUAUCUAUAAGGAAGAGAAUUUGGAAAAUAGCUAUGUCCUUUGUUAAUAGACUGUUUCUUUGAUUUCCUUACUUCCU
rnacentral:lncRNA from 1 species